rnacentral:rRNA from 1 species
UACGUAGGGGGCUAGCGUUGUCCGGAUUUAUUGGGCGUAAAGAGCGUGUAGGCGGCCAAGUAGGUCCGGUGUGAAAACUCGAGGCUUAACCUCGAGAUGUCAUCGGAAACCAUUUGGCUAGAGUCCGGAAGAGGAAAGUGGAAUUCCUGGUGUAGCGGUGAAAUGCGCAGAUAUCAGGAAGAACACCAGUGGCGAAGGCGACUUUCUGGACUGUAACUGACACUGAGGCUCGAAAGCGUGGGGAGCGAACAGG